AAAAUGACAAGCAAGAGCCAAGGUGGAAAAAAAAUACAAUCAAACCAAGAAUUUGAGAUGCUCCACACGACUAUUGAAGGAACAGUUUGAAAAAAUGAGCGAGGCAAAGAAGGGCAUCGUUCAGGAAUUAGGAUUUGGUGGUCUGAUGCAUAUUCCGCCGAUGAAUGUGCCACACAAACUGUUGAAGGAUUUGGCUAAUUCCUUUAAUUUGGAAAAAAAUAAAUUGGGAAACAAGGCACGGUUCGUUGAAAAUUAAACCCAAAAAAAUAGGAGCUGCCCUUGGUCUCAAUGCAUCAGGAGACCUAUUUCCAGAAAAAUGUGAGUUUUAAAGACCUUUCUGAGGAGAACAAACAAAUUUUUAGAAGGUUCCAGGGGCAAACACUAAAGAAUCUGACCAAUCAGAUGAUGGAUAUUAGUGUUGACAAUGAUCAAGAUCACCUCAUGUUCAAGAGGAUUUUCAUCCUCUAUAUUCAAAUGGCGUUCUUGUUUCCAACUACGAUAAACAAAGUAUCUCCUGUCCACAUCCCUCUAAUUUUUCGAUUGGACAACAUAACGGAAUGGAACUAGGACAGCCAUGUCCUUGAUUUCAUCAUCAAGGGCAUAACUAAUUACUGUUUGAAAAAGAAAAAAUUGAUUGAUAGCUACCUCUAUGCCUUGAUGAUAGUAUAUUUUCAUCUAACAAAACACACAAACAAGAAAGGAGAAGCAAUCCCUGGACUGCUCUCGGUCAUCCAUUGGAAUAGGGAGUUACUGGUUUAGAGGAUCAGAGCAGAAAUUGACGGUCAUAUGGGCAUCGUCAAGAGGGCGGAAGUGAAAAAGAAAAUGAAGAAAAUGAAAGAGAAAGAAAAGAAAGAAAAAAAAGAAAAAGACAAAAAAGAAGAAGGUCAGUUCAUCCGAGAGUGCUUCAUCGCAGAGUGAAUUUGCUUUUUCUUCUGAGUCUGAGUCUGAACAAGACUCAGUAGAACCAACAGAAAUAAGGAAACAACCCACGAGGAUAGUUAAAAGUUAAGUAAUAUUUUUUGGUGUAUUUUGUUAUUUUUAAGGUAUUUUUUGCUAAUAAUUGUUUGCUCACCAGAAUGGUAUCCAGAUAAAGGAAACAGAUUGUGGAGGAUUCCUCUUCAGAAAGUGAAAGUGAAUUCGAUGAUGAAAAUGAAGAAUCGUCACUAAUAAUAAAACAAAAAUAAAAGAAAAAAAUUCAGACUCCACCCAAAAAGACGCAAUCCAAAAAAAGAAAGCACAUUGUUGAGGAUUCGUCUUCUGAACAAGAAAUUGAAUCCUAUGAUGUAACUGAUGUAAGAACUGAAGAAAUAGAAGAAUUCUUCAGAGAAUCAAAAAAGAAAAAAAAACAAUGAAAAGGCUGCACAGGGGAUGAAGGAAGCUGGGCUCCCAUCGACGGAAGCUCAUUAUGAUUCAUCCGAAAUAAUGCCGGAGGUGAACUUAGAAAGCAAAAAUGAUCCUAUGUUUCAAACACAAACAGAUCAAAGCAGCGUAAACAAACCCACAGAUAGCAUGUUGUUUGGCAAGACAGUAUUGAUCCUGACAACAUGACCUACGAGAGUUCUGAUUCAAGUAUGCAUGCCUUUGUCGCAGACAAUAGCAGCAAGCCCUAUGCAAAUUGAACCAUCCCCCCCAAAGUCUCUGAGGAAGAAAAUUAGCGAAGAAACAAUUAAGGGCACUCCACAACCCUAGCAACCUACUGUCGCACACCCACAGUGCCAGCAGCUCCUUCUAAAGUCCAUUGCUGCAUUGAUGAUGAUUGCCAACACAGCAUCCUAUGUACCAAAAUAAUUUCUGGCGGCAUCAUUCAGCCUUGGCUUUACUGAUUUGAGUCAGGAAGAAACGCUGACUCAGGAGGGGCGACCGGGAUCUGAGAAGGGAAAAAGUCCUGAGACACCAAUACUAAUUGAAGAAUUAGAGGAUCUGGUGGAGCAAAUUACAAACACUGGGGUUGCGGCAACAUUGAAUUUUGCAGAGGAUAAAAUUCCCCCGAUCGAAAAGCAGCCUGCCGACCAAUUUUUUGAAAAGUUUGAAACUCCUGCAAGGAGGACAAAAUUGUCGGCCGACCUAAAAGAAAAGUGAUACCUUUGGGCCACACAUGUAAAGACCUACGAGGAUGGAUGUACUAAUGAGUGGGAGCCAAUGUGAAUCCUCAAUGCCCAACAACCAAUGCAAUUGUCAAAAA